rnacentral:rRNA from 1 species
GAUGAACGCUGGCGGCGUGCCUAAUACAUGCAAGUCGAGCGAACGGACGAGAGGCUUGCUUCUCUGAUGUUAGCGGCGGACGGGUGAGUAACACGUGGAUAACCUACCUAUAAGACUGGGAUAACUUCAGGAAACCGGAGCUAAUACCGGAUAAUAUUUUGAACCGCAUGGUUCAAAAGUGAAAGACGGUCUUGCUGUCACUUAUAGAUGGAUCCGCGCUGCAUUAGCUAGUUGGUAAGGUAACGGCUUACCAAGGCAACGAUGCAUAGCCGACCUGAGAGGGUGAUCGGCCACACUGGAACUGAGACACGGUCCAGACUCCUACGGGAGGCAGCAGUAGGGAAUCUUCCGCAAUGGGCGAAAGCCUGACGGAGCAACGCCGCGUGAGUGAUGAAGGUCUUCGGAUCGUAAAACUCUGUUAUUAGGGAAGAACAUAUGUGUAAGUAACUGUGCACAUCUUGACGGUACCUAAUCAGAAAGCCACGGCUAACUACGUG